GUCCAGACUCCUACGGGAGGCAGCAGUGGGGAAUAUUGCACAAUGGGGGAAACCCUGAUGCAGCGACGCCGCGUGAGCGAUGAAGUAUUUCGGUAUGUAAAGCUCUAUCAGCAGGGAAGAAGAUGACGGUACCUGACUAAGAAGCCCCGGCUAACUACGUGCCAGCAGCCGCGGUAAUACGUAGGGGGCAAGCGUUAUCCGGAUUUACUGGGUGUAAAGGGAGCGUAGACGGCGAUGCAAGCCAGAUGUGAAAGCCCGGGGCUCAACCCCGGGACUGCAUUUGGAACUGUGUGGCUGGAGUGUCGGAGAGGCAGGCGGAAUUCCUAGUGUAGCGGUGAAAUGCGUAGAUAUUAGGAGGAACACCAGUGGCGAAGGCGGCCUGCUGGACGAUGACUGACGUUGAGGCUCGAUAGCGUGGGGAGCAAACAGGAUUAGAUACCCCCGUAAUC
rnacentral:rRNA from 1 species